GCUCCGGCGAAGCAUUCUGCUGCAACAGCUCCUGAUGGAAGCAAACUGUUCCAGGGAAGGUUCUGAAGUGACAAAAAUUCCCCAAUUUUCAUAGAUAGGCUCUUCCUGAGUUUUCAUACCAUGUCAGAGCAACAGUGAAUGAACUGAUUGAGGGCACGCUUUGUCACACUGGGUACAGUUGCUACAAAUGCCAAAAUAUUCGUUCCGUUCCACUUGUGCUGCCACUUAGUUCAGAUUUAUUUUGUAAAACUAAGUGUCCCCUGCCUGCAUUGCAAUGAAGCGGUUUGACCCUGGCGUAAAAUAAAAUAAAGGCUGUCUGCUAAUCAGAAGAGCAGCUGUUUUCAAUAACUAAGAAAGAUCAUUCCAAGCCAACAUAAGGCCAUAAAAAACAGCUGCUUUGUUAAUUAGGAUGUCGAGGGCUAAAUCUACAGAGGGAUUGGGGUGCCUUGAUAGCAAUAAUACUCCAGCCCUCUGCAUGAAGCCUGGGAAGAGCAAGCACAUCAGAACGAGGAUGGGGGAUGCCCCAGGUAGUCUCAAAUCUUGCUGUAAAAUUGCACUUAACCUCCAAAACCAGACUGUGGCUUGGGUCUCCCAGUGCUUUUUGCUGCUGUUUUGGCCUUCCAGGUGCCUUGUGCUUGUGAAUGCCUCCACCUGCAGCUUAUUUUUCUCACCUGGUGAGUUGAACUUGCCACAGCAUGUAAGCCCCUUGCAGAGGCUUAGGUGGUUGCUGAAGGAGGUGUGGAUGGUUGUGUGCUGGCUGGAGCAAGGAGCACCUCUUGGUGGGGCCUUUCUUCCUGUUGGGUUAGUGCACUGUGUCCCAGGCAGCAGCCAGAUUUUCACAUAAAUCACCACGCUGCCAAAAAGAGGAAAACCUCUGUACUGAGAUGAGAUGCUCACUAAGAUGGGGAUGACAUGGAUAACAUUGAGGAUCCAGCUGCUAUUGGUUACCACGCAUCAGGCCCAUGGAUGCUUUUUCUUGGACUCUAGUUCCCAGCUUCUUCAUACAGUUUUGAAGUGUUAUAGCACCCUUGAGAACUAAGAACCUGAUGGAUGCAUUAUGGAUUUAUGUAAAUGGCGUACCUCAAACUUGCUCCUUCUCUCUGGAAGACUGGAAAAUGAUUUCUAAGCUGCUGGUGCGAUGCACUGCCAAGGAAAGCAGUGGGAAGCACAGCUUCUGCUGAAUUAAUUUGGAGUAGUCCUCAACAAGUUUUGAAGCUGAUUUUUAAGAAAUUGUUCUCGAAAGUGUUUCUUUGAAAUUCUGGGCAAGCAGUUUUAAAGAUGGUAUCUAGCGAUUGAAAAAAAUGUGCUGCAGCCUCAAAAUAUUCCAACACAUCUCCCUGUUGGGCUGUCUGUGGCAGUGAGCAGUGUGAGCGUGCCCUCAUGCCAGCAUAACUGAGUCA